CACGUAGGAGGCGAGCGUUGUCCGGAAUCAUUGGGCGUAAAGAGCGCGCAGGCGGCUUGGCAAGUCGGGUGUGAAAUCCCGGGGCUCAACCCCGUGACUGCAUCCGAUACUGUCAGGCUAGAGGUAGGUAGGGGGAGAUCGGAAUUCCUGGUGUAGCGGUGAAAUGCGCAGAUAUCAGGAGGAACACCGGUGGCGAAGGCGGAUCUCUGGGCCUUACCUGACGCUCAGGCGCGAAAAGCUAGGGGGAGCGAACAGG
rnacentral:rRNA from 1 species